GACGAGCCUCACAAACGUUAUUCGGAAUUACUGGGCUUAAAGGGUGCGUAGGCGGCGCGGAAAGUUGGGUGUGAAAUCCCUCGGCUCAACCGAGGAAUUGCGCUCAAAACUACCGUGCUCGAGGGAGAUAGAGGAAUGCGGAACUUACGGUGGAGCGGUGAAAUGCGUAGAGAUGCGGAGGGAACACCCGAUGGCGAAGGCAGCCCCCUGGGCUGACACUGACGCUCGAGG
rnacentral:rRNA from 1 species